GGGAAACAUCCUUCCAAUGACACCACUAUCAGUGAGUGACAUCAGCCACCAUUCUUUUGAGAGCAGCUUUCCUUUAAACAUCUAAUACUAGAAAAUUAUGGCACAUCAGAUUUUUGUGCUUGUUAAUUAUAAGUUUUUACCUUCUUGUGUUAAAGUGCAGCUGGCAGAGAUAUCAUCAUCUACAUCCGUGACCUCCACUGAAUAUAUUCCCAGAUCCUUUUCUGAUGGAUCUUUCAGUAUAAGCUUAGAUUUAUUGCCUUUUUCUUCUGUCCAAACUCUGUCAGCAUCUGGUGGUCCUUCAUAGUCCUUUGACCAGAUAAAUUCAGAGGAGUCAUUCUUUUCAGGAGCUUCAAAAGCCAUAUAAAUGAACCCUUCUUCAUCUACCCCGAGUUCAAUUUCAUUUGUGCCUGAAUGACAAAAUGUAAG
rnacentral:lncRNA from 1 species